UGAUGAUCCUGAAGACGAAGAAGAAGCAGAAGUGGGUGGAGAAUCUGCUGGGGCAGCAGUGGCGGCAUCUGAUGAAGCUGCAGCUUCUUUAAAAAUCUUUGCAUCCGGGGAGUCUGGUGGGAGGUUCAGUAUAGCUGCAUAUAUAUACCAUCCAAGUACACAAUAAUAAUCAUUCUACAAGAAUGUAACUCCAAGCUAAUUAAAGAGUGUAUUCUGUAGUAUUGUGAUUCAAACCGCUAAGGUAUUUGUAGCUAAGAGUGUUACAGAAUACUUGCUUCGUGAUGGCGGAAAUUAAGAAUUGAAUUUUAAUAUAUAUGUCACGUUAGAGCUGCAAUUCAACCCAAUUGAGCCACGCUUUCCAUAAUUAAUAAAAACUAUUAUUUUGUUUUAAUAAAUAUGCUUAAAUAAACAAUUUGUUGUAUAAGGUUAAAUUUCACAUUAGAAAUAUUAAUUUAUGUAUUAGAUCACGAGUUUAAAUAUGAACUUAAUGAGUCAAAUUUUAUUUAAUUUGAGCCGACUCAUUUAUUAAGCGCACUUUAUUAGAUGAGUUUAAUUAAAUUAAGAUAUAAUUCAAAUAUUAAAAGCUGUUUAUUUCAAAAAUGAGAAAUGAGAAAUUUAUUUUUUUCUAAAUUAAUGUGUUUUCAUCUUUAUGAUGAUUAUAAAGAGAUAACUACUUUCUAUUAUAUAGUCUAUGCCUCAUUGAACACUCCAUAAAUAAAAAAGAAUUAAGUUGAUGCUCGACUAAUUGUACCUAUACAUCACAUUGCCUUCCAAGAGAUUGUUAAGAAUAGAAAAGGUAUAGUGUUUUCUUUUUCAAUAUGCAUUAUUCGUAAAAUUUACUCAUAAUUAAUAUUUUUUAGAUUUUAUUUUCUUAUAUUAAUAUUUUUUAAAAAUAGCUUGGAUCAACAAUAUCAAAUGUUGGAUGUGUUAAUUAAAUUUAAAAUUUUUAGUAUAAAAUGCUCAAUAAUAAUAUUAAACAUUGAAUUGCUUUAGGACUUUUUUCCUAAAUUUCUUAUAGUAUAUACGAAUUUGUUUCUACUUCUAGUAAAAUAACAAUUAAAAUUUGAAACGUUAAAUAUUAAUAUAUCAUAGUCUAAAUUUUAGCUUGGAUAUAUUAGUUAUUCAUUUAAAAAUUAUUUUUUUUAAAAUAAACCCAUAAGCAAAAUCACGAUGAGCUAAGAUAACAAAUUAACUAUGAUUAUAUUACUCUUAGCAAUUAACAUUACGUACAGGGGCAGUCGGAGACUUCGGCAUCGAUGUUGCAAGCAGAAGGCAUGUGGAGGGCAAGAGUGGUGUUGACAGGAAGACCCAUGGAAGGAUCAGUGCUUUCUUUGAUGAGAACACAAAGGCACUUGGGCUUGCUUGCUUUCACUUUCUGGGUAUCUUGGCAGCAUUGUGGUGUUGGA
rnacentral:lncRNA from 1 species